CCGCUGAAAAUGUUUCUUCACUGUCACACUAAAGAAGGGUAAAACCCCCGCAGGCUUCCUCCUAAAAAGCAAAAAGACCCUGUUGGGACGACGACACCGGUGCGGCCGCUGCA
rnacentral:lncRNA from 1 species